rnacentral:tRNA from 1 species
GGGGGUGUAGCUCAGUGGUAGAGCGCUCGCUUUGCAUGUGAGAAGUCCCUGGUUCAAAACCCGGCACCUCCA